GACAGCCAGGAUGUUGGCUUAGAAGCAGCCAUCAUUUAAAGAAAGCGUAAUAGCUCACUGGUCGAGUCGGCCUGCGCGGAAGAUGUAACGGGGCUAAACCAUGCACCGAAGCUGCGGCAGCGACACUCAGGUGUUGUUGGGUAGGGGAGCGUUCUGUAAGCCUGUGAAGGUGUGUCGUGAGGCAUGCUGGAGGUAUCAGAAGUGCGAAUGCUGACAUAAGUAACGAUAAAGCGGGUGAAAAGCCCGCUCGCCGGAAG
rnacentral:rRNA from 1 species